rnacentral:rRNA from 1 species
AGAGUUUGAUCCUGGCUCAGAACGAACCGCUGGCGGCAGGCUUAACACAUGCAAGUCGAGCGCCCCGCAAGGGGAGCGGCAGACGGGUGAGUAACGCGUGGGAAUCUACCUUUUGCUACGNAAUAACUCAGGGAAACUUGUGCUAAUACCGUAUGUGCCCUUCGGGGAAAGAUUUAUCGGCAAAGGAUGAGCCCGCGUUGGAUUAGCUAGUUGGUGGGGUAAAGGCCCACCAAGGCGACGAUCCAUAGCUGGUCUGAGAGGAUGAUCAGCCACACUGGGACUGAGACACGGCCCAGACUCCUACGGGAGGCAGCAGUGGNGAAUAUUGGACAAUGGG